rnacentral:rRNA from 1 species
UAUAGUACUGUGAAGGAAAGGUGAAAAGCACCCCGGGAGGGGAGUGAAAAAGAACCUGAAACCCUGUGCCUACAAGCACCUAGAGCGCGUCAAUGCGUGAUAGGGUACUUUUUGUAGAACGGUCCGGCGAGCGAUUGUAUGCAGCAAGGUUAAGGACUUAAGGUCUGGAGCCGAAGCGAAAGCGAGUUUGAAAAGGGCGUUAAGUUGCAUAUAAUGGGCCCGAAACCGGGUGACCUACCCAUGGUCAGGUUGAAGUGGAAGUAAAAUUCCAUGGAGGACCGAACCGACCUCCGUUGAAAAGGCGGCGGAUGAACUGUGGGUAGCGGAGAAAUUCCAAUCGAACCCGGAGAUAGCUGGUUCUCCCCGAAAUAGUUUUAGGACUAGCCUCAAGUUAGAUACCUGGAGGUAAAGCACUGAAUAGCCUAGCGGCCGAGAGGUUAGCGAAGCUUAUCAAACUCAGAAUGCCAGAGUAUUGAUGCUUGGGAGUCAGACAGUGUCAGAUAAAUGUCAUUGUCAAAAGGGAAACAGCCCAGAUCUACAGCUAAGGUCCCAAAGUCAGGUUAAGUGGAAAACGAUGUGAAGAUACGCAGACAACCAGGAUGUUGGCUCAGAAGCAGCCACUCAUUCAAAGAGUGCGUAAUAGCUCACUGGUCGAGCGUCUUUGCGCGGAGAAUUUAACGGGGCUAAACCUGACACCGAAGCUUAGGCAAUCCAGCAAUGGAUUGGGUAGGGGAGCGUUGUAUACGCGGAGAAACAGUAGCGUAAGCGGCUGUGGAGUGUAUAGAAGUGAGAAUGCCGGAAUGAGUAGCGCGAAUGCAGUGAGAAUCUGCAUGGCCGAAAGCCUCAGGUUUUUGGAGGAAGGUUCGUCCGCUCCAAGUUAGUCGGGAGCUAAGGUGAGGCCGGAAGGCGUAGCCGAUGCACAGACGGUAGAGAUUCCGUCACCACCAAAAGAGUUAAGCACAGGGACACAUUUGAAGUCUCAGAGCCGGGUGUUGGUUCCGGUAGAGAUCGAGGGAAGUUAGUACCGAAGUCUGAGAUGGAAGAUGGCGAGAAAAGCUGUGUGUAUUUCUGAGGUGCCCGUACCGCAAACCGACACAGGUAGGUAGGAAGAAGAUUCUAAGGCCAACGGGAGAAGGGUUGUUAAGGAACUCGGCAAAUUGACCCCGUAACUUCGGGAGAAGGGGUGCUCCAGAGAUGGAGCCGCAGAGAAUCGGCCCAAGCAACUGUUUACCAAAAACACAGGUUUGUGCUAAAUCGAAAGAUGACGUAUACGAGCUGACGCCUGCCCGGUGCUGGAAGGUUAAGAGGAGAUGUGCAAGCAUUGAAUCGAAGCCCCAGUGAACGGCGGCCGUAACUAUAACGGUCCUAAGGUAGCGAAAUUCCUUGUCAGGUAAG